UUACUCCAGACUGCAGUUGUAAAACAUCAAAGGCUACGCCAAAACCGAUCUUCAAGGUGAUAUGCCGACCACGUCCAAGCAAAGAUUUAUGCAGGAUUUCAAUUCCUUGUGAUAAUUUGUUAAGAAACUGUAAGCGCUGUAGUGGCGGUAGAGGGACACAGUCAUUCGAUGAUCAAUGCUGUGGAAGUGGAGGGAGUAGCACAUCAACACUCAAGUUGUCAACAUCGUCAUUUACACGAAGCCAACCAAUCAAUGCAUCGAAUCA